rnacentral:lncRNA from 1 species
ACAGGUAACAGCAUCGGGUGGCGGCGACGGUGGCAGUGAAUCUCGAAUUCCUUCCUUGGUCGACCAGCAGUCCAAUGCAUAACGCACGCCUUCGUCAGAUUCUUCUAGUGAACUACCUGCGAAAGACGCGGUACAUGGAAUUCGGUAAAUGCUACGUUCAGCUUUUCCCCAAAUCUACGAAUGUUCAUUUCUUUAUUCUCAAAAAUCAACCCAAACGAUUCGACGGAUCAAGGCCUGGAUCCGGAAGGCGCUAGGUAUACACAAAUCUGCUUCUAUUUGGUAUUUUUUUGGGAAUAAAUAGUAAAUCUUGUCUCCGAAUUGAUGUGUUUCUUUUUAUAUAAGAUCACAGACGUCGAUUGAGGUGUUUGUGCAAUCUUUUAGAUGUGUUUGUAGAUUCAUUUUUUUAUCAGUGCGAGAACACAAGGCAAAAUUAAUUUCCAAAUAGUCUUUGAUUUGUGAGUUGUAAAACUUUUGGUUUUUUGUCUCUCCAAACCUCUCCCCCCAUUACACAUUGAAUCAACAAUCAAUCAAUCUUUUUUUUUUUUUUUUUAUAACUUAGAUUACCUCUCCACAGAUAUAGAGCUUCAGAGCAAGAUUCAAACCCUAAUAGUGAUUCCCAAAGUCUUUGAAUUUUAAAUACAGUAAAACCAAGAUGGGUGUGAAUUAUAUGGUUUAUAGGGUAAAUGCAGUAACACCAAGUUGUGAACAUUUUUUGCUACCCUAAAUCCUAGCAUGAUUGAUGUAAAGAAAUGGAAAAGGGAUGCAUAAAGGAGAGAAAAUCCUAAAUCAUUAAUUGUGGUGGUUCAACACCAGCUUAGGCAGGCAGUGACUAUUAUAAAAAAGAGCAUUUUUCCAGUCAAACAAGCACAGAUAAAUUCAAAAGAAAAUAAUAAAUUAUAUGUGGUUGAAAAAAAAGGAUCUUUACUUUUUUUCUGUAUUUUAAAUUAUAUGUGUGGUUGAAAAAAAUGAUCUUUACUUUUUUCUGUAUUUUUUAUUUUUUUUACAGCUAUUGAUAUUUCCAACAAACAAAGAACUCAUUAACAAUUUCACACACUUACCCCAAAUUAAUCUAUAGAUUUUCUGGAAAAGGUUUACUUAUAGAAUUGAUCAAUGAAAAUAAUAUAGAAUUGUUGUUUUAUUUUGAUAAAAAGAAGCAAUUCAUAGCUGAGUUUAAAACAAACAUAUAUACUUGUGGAUAAAUCAAGGACUCACAAUCUCCUUCCCUUCUUGAUUUUCUUUGCCAUUCAAGAAUUCAGAAAACCAGAGAGCUGAUGCUUUGGGAUGUCUUUUUAAACCAUUUUUGUAAUCAACGUAAACCAGACCAAAUCGCUUUGUAUAACCCUGAGCCCACUCAAAGUUGUCCAAAAGAGACCAUGCAAAGUAUCCCCGAAUAUCUGUGCCAUCCCUAUUGUCACAAUGCAUAAGAAAAAUUAUAACACUUGGUUAGAGGAAGGAUAUCUUGUACCUAAUAUAGAUAGAUAUACCUGAUUGAUUGAGCAACAGACAAAAGAUAUCCUUUGUAAUAACGAAUUCGCAUUUCAUCAUUUAAAAAGAAAGAAACUGGUUUUGUCCCAUCAUCUUUAUCGUCCAUGCCUGUUAGAGCAUAUGAUAAAAUAAAAAUUCCAAGUAUGAUUUCUAUUUUCUGCUUCAAACUUACCAUUUUCAGUGACGUAUAAAGGGGUAUUUUCAUAACGUUUGUAAAUGUAAUUUAGUAGUUUCCUCAAGCCCCAAGGAACUACAUAGAGCCAAUCUGAUGCAGCCUGUUGUAAAUUACAAAUUAUUAUGUAUGGCCCUAUAAUGAAAUUGUUUGAUAUUGCUAAAUUUGUUUAACAAAUAAUACCUUCUCACCAAUUGGCUCACCUUCAGCCGAUUCAACUACAAAAAGAGAAGUUGGGAUUAAAAAAAAACACAGAAAAAAGUUUCAAUAAUUCAGGGCAACUCCCCUCAUAUUUAUAAAUGAAAAAUUUAACUGUUUCAAAAAAAAAAAGUUUCAAUAAGAUCGUACCUUUUAACUCGGCUUCUUGUGCGUUAAAAUAAUUCUUUGAAUUUCCAAUAAGAUCUUUGUGAGCAACAAAUCUUGUUGUGUAAUGAUUAAGACCAAUGAAGUCAACUGAAUAAUGUAGUAGUUUGAUUUCCUCGUCUGUGAACUUCGGAAGGUUUUUGCCUAAUUUUUCUCGCAUGGAACUAGGAUAUUCUCCAAAAUAUAUGGGAUCCAAAAUCCUUCAAUGUAAGAUAUUUUAAAUCUUUAACAAAAGAGAAGAUAUUUUUAAAUAAAUUAUGCAGUAUCAAGAAUUCUUUAUAUCUUGUAAUAAAGUUUUAAUGAAGUUUAGAUAAGGUUUUCAACUAUUUGUAACUAGUUGGAUUUUAACACUGUGAUUAAAUUAGAUUUUGGAGCUUUUAAUAUGGAAUUUCAAGGUUAAAUUGGACAAGAGUGACAGAUUCAGUCAUUCAUAAAAAUGAAAACAUACCAUCCAAGAUUAAAAUCAAGGUGUCUUUGUGCAGCCUGUUUAUCUUCAUUUUUGUCAGAAAACGGCUCUGACCAUUCAGAAUCUGCCACCAGACCAAUUUGACCUCCUUGUUCAACCUACAGUAUAUGAAAAAUAUGACAGUUCUGAAUUCUCAUAAUUUUAAUUUAAAAAUAAUAAGAGUGUGUACCUUAUACUUUUUUCUAUAUAUCGCAACAGCCUGUGCAUGUGCUAAAAGUUGGUAAUGUAUUGCUAAAUAAGGUUCAAUAUCUGGGUUUUCCUUCCUGCCAGGAGCAAAUAUUCCAGUACAGUGACCAUUUAUUGCUGUUUGGAGAGGUUCAUUAAAGGUAAUCCAAUGUUUUACUCUGUUUCCAAAAUGCGCAAAGCAAGUUUCUGCAUAUAUUGCAAAGUAAUCCCUGCAACAGAUCAUAUAUUUUAUUUUUAUUUUACAUAUUAAAGUUCCAAAAAUGCUACUUUUCGUUUUUUUUAUAAUUUUUUAUAACAAAAACGAUAUUUUUUUAUCUAAUCAAUUUUUAUUCAUAGAUUUAUUUUUAUUUCACAUUAGUACUGACAUAUAAUCAUUAAAAAAAAUCAAACUAUUAUAUAAAUGCGUCAUACAACUCGUAUACGGUAACAAGUACAACUUAGGAUAAUGUAACAUACAACGUACAAUUAGUUAUACAUAGUUUAGUUAUUGAUGAAUAAUGCAUUGUCAAUCGAUGGAUUAGGAUCUAACGGUCGAAAAUAUUUCGACGCAUUUUGGUACAUGGAAGGUUUGACGCAUCUGAAACUAGCUCUAUAUAAAUAUUUGGAUAUCGAAUGAUGAUAAAUCUUCUUUCAAUGGAUAAAAUAACUCACACUAUAUCUCUGUUCAACCAUCCUCCUUUAUUUUCAUAGAGAUAUUGUGGAAGAUCCCAAUGAUAUAGCGUAGCAAAGGGUUUAAUACCUACAAUAAUAGAAAAUAUGAAAUUCAGCUUAUAAAUAUGCAAUAAUGCAACUUCAAAAUGACGAGAUAUUAUUUUUUUGGUAAAUUACUUGGAUAUUGAUUAAAAUGAUAGUGGAUAAUACCUUUCUCUAACAAAGCAUCAAUCAGAUUGUUGUAGUAUGCAAUUCCUUUCUUGUUGACAUCAGUUCCCAGUCCAUCUAAACAUUAGAAGAAAAAAUAAGACGUGUGCUUUCUGAUUUGUUUUCAAAAAUUUCUCCUUGCCAAGAAUUCCCCAAAGAGUUUUUUUUAUGAAUUAAAAAUUUAAUUCCUGAAAAGAAAAUAGGUGGGCAUAGCCAGGCUACAAAUGUAGGGAAAUGAUAAUAAAGGUAGUAAAGCAUAAUGCAAAACAAAACAUGUAGACCCAUUGUCGCUCUUUUAUACAGCAUCGACUCUGACAUUAGUUAGCCAUGGACUGAUGUCUCAAGAGGUUUGACUACCAAUAAUGAUAUAGAAUGAAACUCAAUCUGUAACGGAUUACUUUUCUUAUAGGGGGUGACAUCAUAUGCAGUGCUCACAUCCCUCAGAAUUUUACUGCUGACAAUUUAUGGGGGCCCUAGAGUAUGUUGUUUAAGUCUUCUAUUCCUUUCACACCAAAUGUGUCAAGAUAGGGAACCUAGUAUUAAUCAAAGUUUACCCCAGCAAUUGCCUUUAUGGGUAAAUUUUCUAUGCUCUCCAUCACAUCCCCUAUCAUGAUAUCAUCAGUGGGAACUGAGGGUUAGAAAAAUAACAGAUUUGGAGUUAGAAAAAUGUCUUAUAAUAAAUAUUGCAAAGGCUUUUUUGGUUUUGACUCUUGAUAGUGCAAUUGGUAUGGGCAGGAUCUCACAAUGGUGUCCAUGUAAUUUCAGAAGAUCUCUUAAAUUGGGUAAAGGAUGUGUUAUAUUACUCUAUCAUUUUCAGUCUUGGCCAAUGAUUCUCCCUCAAGGGUGUUCCAUGCUGCUAGGGGGUUUAGGAAAGGAAAUCUGUUCAUCCAAUUUGUAUUCAUGAUUUUAAAUCACUUGAGCCAAAGGUUAAGGGAAUCAAUAAAUUUGGUAUGGGCUUUCUAAAGGUGUUUAAUUGAAAGGAUAUGCGAGUGAGUGGUGAAAAGCCAUCUAAUCUCUGUACUUGGAAUAUCUUAGAUGGAUCCUCUACCUCAUCCGUCCAAAUAGAAUAUCAGAUGAUAUUCAGGGAUCGUAGUAUGAAUAAAUUCCCAUUGUGUGAAGGGAAUUGCCAUAGUAUGAACAGAAUAAGGUAGAAGAAAUUGCCAACAAAAGUAUUUUUGAGAAAAAGGGAAAGCAACAACAGUAAGAUUUUCGAAUGCAUCACUGCAUUCUAUGUAAAGCUACUGCGGCAGUCUGGAAGACAUUGAUCAAUUAUAUUUCAGUUUCCCUUUCAUCAAAAAUAAAUAUAUAAUCUCAUUUUAUUGGAAGAAUUAGGAAAUUGGAUCCCAAAAUAGCUUUACUAGAAAAUAAUAUUUAUAUUUCAGGGCAUUGUUGGAAAUUAAACUGAUUUUUGGUCCCUUAACAUAUGAAUGUGGAAUCCAGAUGGUCUACAAUUUGAGACAGAAUUAGUGUUGAUUCCAGGAUUGUUUUCAACUUAGACAAAUUGAAGAAACCCAUAAAUAUCUGUCUCCUUAACACCAUAGAUGUAGUGAGGCUGUGAGGCACAACCUCACUCCACCAUAGGAAAUUUAACUGUUUCAUGUAUUGUGAGUACAGAGUAGAUAGCUUGCUAUUUCUAUUUUGAAAAUGAUAAAAUAUAUAAAUUUACUAUUUGCAAAAAUAAAAAUGAAUCAGUUUUUUUAUAAAGUUAUAACAAUCGAUAUACUAAGAUAUAUAUUCUAACAUAUCCAAGCAAUCUAAUUUAACCAUAAUAGUAUAGUCAGUCAUUCUAACAAUUGGUACAACAAUUUUGCAAAAUAAAUGAUACCAUAAAUCAUUUAAAAAAAUUUAAAUAACUUAAUUGUGUAAUGUCUGUCAUUUUUCCUAUUUGAUAUUGAAUUCCGUUCAGUAAUUCACUUAUAAUUAUAAAAAAAAAUGAAAAGAAAAAAAUCAACUACCAGGAAAUAUGCGAGUCCAUGAAAUGGAAAAUCGGUAAGCCCCAAAUCCUAAGUUGUCCAUUAGAUUUACAUCAUCCUGUAGAAGAACAAAAGAAUUUAACAUACCAAAAAUAUCCUAAUUCUUUAGUUUUUAAAAAUAAUAAACUUUUGAAACUAAGUUUAUUAAUUUUUCCUUAUAUCAGUGACAAAGAUAAAGGUUUGAUUCAGGAUAAUUUAAAAUUUGUAGAAACUGAUAUAUGAGAGACUAAGACUUCACCUAAAUAUAAUGAAUUGCCCCUUAUCAAUUAUAUGAAUGAAAGAGGUGUGAAGGUAAAAUGAAGGAUGAAUCUGAGAUUGGAAAAACCUUGUGCAUUUCUCUGUAUAUAUAAUACAGUCUCCACAAUCUAAGAUCCUGAAGCAUAAUGGAGAAACUAACAGAAAUCACAAAAUUUAAAAGAAGGAAAUAAUUUGCAACCUUGUAUUGGUAAUAUUGUCCAACUGCAUCAUCACCAUUGCUUCCAUCCAAAAUAUUCCCUAAAAUAUGUCAUGGAAAUAACUAAUAUUGCCAGAGUACAGUAAAAACAACAACAGUAGUAACAAACAGAUAAGGAAUGAAUUAUAAAACCAGCAUGCCUUUUUCUUUGCAAAAGGCAUCCCAGAUGCAAGGACCAGUGUUGUCUUCCUUUCUUCCUCCUUCAACCUUGUCACAAUAAGAACAUACAAAUUUACAAACUCAACAUAAACUAACUGGAUUCACACACUUGUAUAGAUUAAAAAAAAUAGAAUAAGUCAAAAAAAUAAAACAGAUUAUCCAAACACCACUUAAAAACCAAACAUAUCAUUUAAGAGUCAGCAGUAAACAGAUUACUUCGUAGGAAAAAAAUAUUGAUUACAUUUGAAUCUUGAUUCCAAUAAUCAAACCAAUCUCAGUAAUCUUACUGCUAAGCAGAACUUUACAAAAUUUUGAAAAAAAAGGAAUGAUCGUGAAUGAAGAUCAGGUUUAAAAAUCAGAAACAGUUGGGGAAAAAAAUUCGAAAAU